UGGCUCAGGAUGAACGCUAGCUACAGGCUUUAACACAUGCAAGUCGAGGGCAGCGGGAUUGAAGCUUGCUUCAAUUGCCGGCGACCGGCGCACGGGUGAGUAACGCGUAUCCAACCUUCCGUACACUCAGGGAUAGCCUUUCGAAAGAAAGAUUAAUACCUGAUGGUAUCUUUAAGCACACAUGUAAUUAAGAUUAAAGAUUUAUCGGUGUACGAUGGGGAUGCGUUCCAUUAGGUAGUAGCGGGGUAACGGCCCACCUAGCCAACGAUGGAUAGGGGUUCUGAGAGGAAGGUCCCCCACAUUGGAACUGAGACACGGUCCAAACUCCUACGGGAGGCAGCAGUGAGGAAUAUUGGUCAAUGGACGAGAGUCUGAACCAGCCAAGUAGCGUGAAGGAUGAAGGUCCUACGGAUUGUAAACUUCUUUAUAAGGGAAUAAACCCUCCCACGUGUGGGAGCUUGUAUGUACCUUAUGAAUAAGCAUCGGCUAACUCCGUG
rnacentral:rRNA from 1 species